CAAUUGUGAUUCCGAACAGACCA
rnacentral:siRNA from 1 species